rnacentral:lncRNA from 1 species
GGAAAAUGUUGAGUUUGUCUUCCAGAUCUACUGGACCAGGAUCAAAAAGUUCCUCUGGUUCCAGUCCAUCUUUGUCUUUAACUAAGUUACUUGCAGGCUGCAGAGACACAGCACCAGGUGAUGUAGGCGGGGCAGAGGAAGGGAGCAAUGGGGUGUGCAUCGUAGGUUGAGCAGAGGGCAGGAGCAGUGCAAUGAGCAUCAGGGGCAGAGCAGGUGGGGGUGGCAAGCAUCAGGAGCGGAGCUGAGGGCGGGGACAUGUGGUUGGUGGUGGGGGGGGGAGUCAUGAUUUCUCUUCUUCCUGGCCACGGGCAGGGUUGGAGCUGUAGAUUGAAUCUGGGCCAGGGCUGCUUUCGGCACUGAGGGGCAGCAGUGGGGAUAGGACAGAGGGCAAUGAGGAAUAAUCAGAAGUUCUUCCUUGUCAUAUUCUUUUUAAGCCCUUCCAUUAUUUGGUGCCAAACAGGUAAAAGUUUAGCAGCCAUUCUGUCUUUAGUAAUAGAAUUGAAACUAAUUUUUAAGUAGAUACAGGCUGAUUCAGAAACUUUAAAACUAACUGUAAUACUUCAAGAUUUACUUGUUGCUCUUUCAUUAGUGAACUCCCCAUAGUUCCCGCCUGCUCACCUUCUGUCCUGCAGAACAGUGCAGGUGCACAGGAAACAAUCUCUCUGUAGUUCAGUGGGGUGGCGCUGCCGGACUGUGCUCACUCAACCUUGGCUUGAUUUGCCCCAUGCAGUGGGCACCAUUUGCAGUAUCUUAUGCAUGGACUCAGAUGUGAGCAAUCCAAACCAUUUAUUACAAGUUCUCACAUCACUCAUAUACCUUCACAAGUUCCUUUUUUCCAGCUUUCCUAUCCACCCCUACAACGUUCCCAUCCACCUUUACAUGUCAACAAAGCAUACUACAAACACUCUUCAACUAUUCGUGUGGGCAUUUAUCCAGUCAGAGCUGCGAGUCGUUCUUCUAGAGGCAUCCUUGGUUCUCAUACUGUUUAUCUUGCUCCACAGCUGCUGCUCUGAACAGUUUUUCUUGUAUUCCCCAUAUC